rnacentral:rRNA from 1 species
UGGGGAAUAUUGCGCAAUGGGGGAAACCCUGACGCAGCGACGCCGCGUGUGGGAUGAAGGUCUUCGGAUUGUAAACCACUGUCGCGAGGGACGAAGCUCUGACGGUACCUCGAAAGGAAGCACCGGCUAACUCUGUGCCAGCAGCCGCGGUAAUACAGAGGGUGCGAGCGUUGUCCGGAAUCACUGGGCGUAAAGGGCGCGUAGGCGGCCCGGUAAGUAGGGGGUGAAAUCUCAUGGCUCAACUGUGAGGCUGCCUUCUAGACUGCCAGGCUUGAGCACAGUAGAGGCGAGUGGAAUUCCCGGUGUAGCGGUGGAAUGCGUAGAGAUCGGGAAGAACAUCGGUGGCGAAGGCGGCUCGAUGGGCUGUUGCUGACGCUGAGGCGCGAAAGCCAGGGGAGCAAACGGGAUUAGAUACCCGCGUAGUCCCUGAGCGGGCUGGCAAGGCGCAU